GAUGAACGCUGGCGGCGUGCCUAAUACAUGCAAGUCGAGCGAACAGACGAGGAGCUUGCUCCUCUGACGUUAGCGGCGGACGGGUGAGUAACACGUGGAUAACCUACCUAUAAGACUGGGAUAACUUCGGGAAACCGGAGCUAAUACCGGAUAAUAUAUUGAACCGCAUGGUUCAAUAGUGAAAGACGGUUUUGCUGUCACUUAUAGAUGGAUCCGCGCCGCAUUAGCUAGUUGGUAAGGUAACGGCUUACCAAGGCAACGAUGCGUAGCCGACCUGAGAGGGGGAUCGGCCACACGGGAACUGAGACACGGUCCAGACUCCUACGGGAGGCAGCAGUAGGGAAUCUUCCGCAAUGGGCGAAAGCCUGGCGGAGCAACGCCGCGUGAGUUAUGAAGGUCUUCGGAUCGUAAAACUCUGUUAUUAGGGAAGAACAAAUGUGUAAGUAACUAUGCACGUCUUGACGGUACCUAAUCAGAAAGCCACGGCUAACUACGUG
rnacentral:rRNA from 1 species